rnacentral:lncRNA from 1 species
AAACAUAAUCCUUUGGCUGUAUAAUGUGUUUAUGUAUAUGUGUGUAUAUAUAUAUUCUGUAUAUAAUAAAUCUCAUUCCUUCAGCCUGUGUCAUUCAAGGAACUACUUAAGUACAUGUCAAAAAAUAAGUUGAUAUGAGAUCAUUGUCUUAGGUAUUGCUCUUUGGCUGUUUAAAUAUAUUAAUAUACUUGCACAAGCACUGUCACUGUAGUGAUGAACCUUGUAGGCUUUAGAAUAAUCACAUUGCUAAAGAGGUGCUGUCAUUGGUGCCUAUGACCAAUAGUAUCAUAGGAGAAUGAGAUACUGGAGAAUCUGUUACUGAAGACAAUGUUAUUUAUUCAUUGUUAGUGGGUGUGAGGUCAUUUUCCCAGCUGAACUCUUCAGCAACUAGUGUUAAAUUCCUAAAAAAAAAAAAAGAUGAAAAGGAAGACCUGAGGUCCACUUUGCCUGUAACUCCAUGGAUUAUCAAUUGCACAUCAUUAAUUACACAUUAGCAAUUACAACCUAAUUAAAAAUUUAAGCAUAUAAUCUUCCUUCUGUGAACAUAUAACUAUGCAAUCCCCUUUUCAGAAAUGUAUCUUACUCUACUGAUAACUGAUUGAUUGAUUCACCUCUAUCCUAGAUAGCUACACUUUCUUUUCACUUCCGAGAGUGCUCUGAGAUUUUUCUAUUUCUUUCUCAUGCAUAGCUCCUCUGAAGAGUGGCUUUCCUUUAUUAGUCUUUGCAGUAUUAAACAUAUAAUUAUUUAAGGUACACAGAUUUUUUUGUAGUAUCUUAUGUGUUUGAAAUUUUAUUUCUGCGUAUGUGUGUUUAUAAGAAAUUAAUGCAUUUUAAAACAGAUCACCCCACCCAAUAAAUAAUAAUUGUGGUUUUCAUUAAUUCUGAGCAUGUAGAGGAAGCUGUUUUUAGUUCCUCGUAGUUUAUAUCAUUACAAGUACAUUGAAAGAAUGUCUACUUUUUCCUAUUCAUAAUUUAUUUAGUGCUUAAUGUUGAGGCACUAUACAUAUUACAGUGAAGGUGUAUUGAAAUGUUUUACAUAGCUGGCUAAUAUAAGUCCAGCUAAGGUGCAUAUUUUCCUUUUCACUGACUGACAUGAGACUUGAUCACUCACACCUUCAGUGUAUCAGCACUUACUGGUCAGCUGCUUUGGCAGAGUAUGUCCCACAGCCCUGAGUAAUCACUGUUCAGUCGACCCUGAACUUUAACUUACACAGGUACCAAUAGAGUGUGUUGCCGUGUUUCUUUCUCAUUUGUUGUUUAUGAUUAAGGAUGAAUAUAGAAACUCAUUGCCUAGACUUUCCUUUCUGAACUGUAUUUACCUCUUGCCUUCUGUUGCAUUUUCCUUUGGGAGGGGUUUAAACCUGUGGUAAUGAGUCCUUUUGCUCACCUUAUGCUUCCUUUCUUGUUGCAUGUUUUCCCCUUAUGUAUUCUAUUUGGUCAUAUUGAUAAAUGCAUUGAAAACUGGUCAGCUUCUAUAAGCAGUAGCAGGCCGAGAAGACUAAUCUAAGAAGACACUUUAGAUUUUCAAGUUAGUAACUCUUUUUUUUUCUUUAAUUGGUUACAGACAUCUGAACUUUUAAUUCACCAAUAUGUUUUUUAUCUAGGAAUGAGCAGUUUCCUUCUGUUGUAUUUCUAAUUCCAUGGAGUCCUUUAUUCUACUUAAGGAGUAGCUGGAUACAUUGGUUUUAAGUAAAUAGGCACAUGUUUGUUGUCAUUGGCUUCAACAGUAGCAAGUAAGUGUUACAGCAUGCUGCCAAGAGACAAGCCAAUCAUCCAUGAAAGAUGUUACAAUAAUGUUUACCAUGCCUCUGUGGUCCAUACUUUACUCUCAUGCUGCUGUGCUGGGCAAUAGUUUUUAAGCAGACUUCUUGUGCACCAUUCAUUUUUAUUUAUUUGCACAAUUAGUUUCGAGUGUUGUAGAAUGAAAAAUGAUUGUAUGGUUAAGUUAAAAUGGAAGAUAGUUAUAGAUCACUCUGAAAGUUACUCAUGGGAAAAUAUGACCAUUGUGACUGCGGUUGUCUCUCACUCAACUGGUUUUUUAAAAUUAUAGAUGACAUAUCCAUUGACCCAAUAAAGUCAC